AUUGAACGCUGGCGGCAUGCCUUACACAUGCAAGUCGAACGGUAACGGGUCCUUCGGGAUGCCGACGAGUGGCGAACGGGUGAGUAAUAUAUCGGAACGUGCCCAGUAGUGGGGGAUAACUGCUCGAAAGAGCAGCUAAUACCGCAUACGACCUGAGGGUGAAAGGGGGGGAUCGCAAGACCUCUCGCUAUUGGAGCGGCCGAUAUCAGAUUAGCUAGUUGGUGGGGUAAAGGCCUACCAAGGCAACGAUCUGUAGUUGGUCUGAGAGGACGACCAGCCACACUGGGACUGAGACACGGCCCAGACUCCUACGGGAGGCAGCAGUGGGGAAUUUUGGACAAUGGGCGCAAGCCUGAUCCAGCAAUGCCGCGUGCAGGAAGAAGGCCUUCGGGUUGUAAACUGCUUUUGUCAGGGAAGAAAUCUUCUGGGCUAAUACCCCGGGAGGAUGACGGUACCUGAAGAAUAAGCACCGGCUAACUACGUGCCAGCAGCCGCGGUAAUACGUAGGGUGCGAGCGUUAAUCGGAAUUACUGGGCGUAAAGCGUGCGCAGGCGGCUUUGCAAGACAGAUGUGAAAUCCCCGGGCUCAACCUGGGAACUGCAUUUGUGACUGCAAGGCUAGAGUACGGCAGAGGGGGAUGGAAUUCCGCGUGUAGCAGUGAAAUGCGCAGAUAUGCGGAGGAACACCAAUGGCGAAGGCAAUCCCCUGGGCCUGUACUGACGCUCAUGCACGAAAGCGUGGGGAGCAAACAGGAUUAGAUACCCUGGUAGUCCACGCCCUAAACGAUGUCAACUGGUUGUUGGACGGCUUGCUGUUCAGUAACGAAGCUAACGCGUGAAGUUGACCGCCUGGGGAGUACGGCCGCAAGGUUGAGACUCAAAGGAAUUGACGGGGACCCGCACAAGCGGUGGAUGAUGUGGUUUAAUUCGAUGCAACGCGAAAAACCUUACCUACCCUUGACAUGUCAAGAAUUCUGCAGAGAUGUGGAAGUGCUCGAAAGAGAACUUGAACACAGGUGCUGCAUGGCCGUCGUCAGCUCGUGUCGUGAGAUGUUGGGUUAAGUCCCGCAACGAGCGCAACCCUUGUCAUUAGUUGCUACGCAAGAGCACUCUAAUGAGACUGCCGGUGACAAACCGGAGGAAGGUGGGGAUGACGUCAGGUCCUCAUGGCCCUUAUGGGUAGGGCUACACACGUCAUACAAUGGCCGGUACAGAGGGCUGCCAACCCGCGAGGGGGAGCCAAUCCCAGAAAACCGGUCGUAGUCCGGAUCGUAGUCUGCAACUCGACUGCGUGAAGUCGGAAUCGCUAGUAAUCGCGGAUCAGCUUGCCGCGGUGAAUACGUUCCCGGGUCU
rnacentral:rRNA from 1 species